GAGGAGUUGAUGGGUAGGAGUCAAUGGGUUGGAUAAAUCGAUGGAGAUUAUGUGUAAGUUCUCAGAGCAGUACGCACAGCGGUCCAACACCUUCAUCCACCACCCAUGGCGUGGAGAUUGUUGAGUCGCUGGACAUGAAGCAAAGGACGUGACCAUGGAAGCCAUGCCACAAGCUGCUGAGCAUCAGACCAAGGUGAUCCCGCUCAACGUCAAUCAUGUAUCUAGUAAAGAUAGGGGAGAGAUGGAUGCAUGUGGCCCUGAUGCAGCAGGGAGCAAGGGGAGAAGUUGAGCUGGUCGAUGGCCAGGAGGGCGGGAGCCUUGAUGUCAUGAUGCCUUUUAUGAUCUGGGCAGUUUGGAUAUGUGUGAUGAGUAAACCAACCAACUCCGCCAAGCACCUAGCCAACCUGAAGGUGGGUGCCAUCAUAGCAAAGAUGAUGGUGAAGGUCAACCAUGGGUUUCUGUGAACGUUGAUGGAUUGCUUUAGUCGUGGUGGCUGUGACGCUUGGCCUCGGAUACAACCUACGUGGGGAGAGAUGGAUACAUGUGGCACUGAUGCAGCAUGCAGCAAGAGAAGAAGUGGAGUGGUCCCUAGCUAGGUGGGAGGGGGCCUUGAUGGCAUGGUGCCUUUUGUGAUCUGGGCAGUUUGGAUAUGGAAGUGUAGUAGUAGCGUCCGCUUGAGUGAUCAGUAAACCAACCAACUUCGCCAAGCACCUAGCCAACCCGAAGGUGAGUGCAAUCAUAGCCAAGAUGAUGGUGAAGGUCAACCAUCUGUCCCUGUGAACGUUGCUUGCUCGCCGCAGCCGUGGUGGCUGUGAUGUUCGGCCUUGACUACCACCUACCUGCGAUGAACAACCCAACCAACUUCACCAAGCACCAAGCCAACCCGAAGGUGGGUCCCACCAUAGCAAACAUCAUGUCGAAGGUCAAUGGUGGGUCCCAGAUAACAUCAUGAGCUCACUGUGCGCAACCGCUAGCUCCCAGGUUGUGCUUCCUAAAAGUCCACAAGUUGUUCUCGAGGCAAUCAAACUUGAUCUGAGCAAAGUCAUUUAUUGAAUUUCACCCUCCGGUCCAACACCUUCUUCUUCUCUGUCACUGCUGUCGUCAUGAAGGUAAUGAAGCACAAGGGGUUAAAGAGAGGCUGCAACUGCUAUACCUCUACUUCCAGCAGGAAGGACAUCGUGGUGGUUUUGGUGUGGCGCCUUGGCAAUUUCCGGUGUCCAUGGGGCUGCUAAUAUCGCCAUAGAGAACACGAUCAGGACUUAAUUGGGGAGGUUCAAAGCCCGUGGUGUUUUUCAGCAUCUUUGACGAAGCCGCAGAAGUUGAUGGACAAACAAUCAAACAAACCUUGUUCAACCAACCAGUGCUAACCGGACGUGAUGCUUGAGCGGUACAUGGGGCAGCAGAUUCAAGUGGCGCUCGCUCGUGGGGAGGUGGCCAGGAUGGGGGCACCACCAGGGCUGCCUGAUUCGUACAAUGGUUUCUGUGUUUGUUUAGAUUCGUUGUGACUUGUUGUGGAAGGCCAAGAAUUAUGAUAAAAGAGGGGCAUGCUUAGUCAGCUGGAAGAAUGUUUGUUGGCCAAAGUCGCUUGGAGGCCUAGGUAUUUUGGACCUCAACUUGUUUAGCAGAGCCCUCCGGCUAAGGUGGAAGUGGUUUGAAUGGACAGACGGGAGGCGGCCAUGGGUUGGAACUACAGUGCCAUGUGACCAAAUUGAUUUAUCCCUAUUUGAUGCUUGCACUCAAUUUUCCGUGGGGAGGGGUAAUAUUGCUAUGUUGUGGACAACAAGGUGCCUGGACGGGGUUGCCCUGGCUGAGAUGGUUCCUAGUUUGUUCAAGCUGACUAGGCUUGAAAAGCUUACGGUUGUACAUGUCAUGCCAUGAUGGAUGACAAGUGGAUGACGGGACUAACCUGGAUCAACACGAUGAUCCAGCUUAGGGAAUUCACAGAGCCGUGGAUCAAGCUGCAAGGGGUAAACCUCACCGAGGAGGAUGAGAUUGCCUAGAAGCUCAAUGCCUCAUCCCAGUAUAGCUUGGCGUCUGGAUAGAAGGCACAGUUCAUCGGGUCUUACCCUGUUAUUGACUACAACAUGCGCUGGAAUUCCAAAGUUCAACCCAAGUGUAAUUUUUUUAUGUGGCUUUGGCUGAGGCAGCGUAUUCUGAUGGACAAUAUGCUGCAGGCUAAAGGAAUUGAUCAUGGGAGCAUUGCGCUCUAUGUGAGCAGGAUCAAGAGACGGUUGAUCACCCCAUCAUGGGCUUCCCAUACGCACGGGUUGUCUGGAAAUUACUAGCCCAAUGGACGGGUGUUUCCGACCUGCAGAUUCGACGACACCAAUUCUCCUCUCUGGCUGAUUUGUGGAGACACAUGACAGGUAUGUUGUCAAAAGAUGAACUGAUGGUUGCCAGCUAUGGAGAGUGGCACCUAUGGAAGGAACGAUGCCGAAGAGUUUUUCAACAGAAGACACUAAAAUUCAAAAAAAAAGCAGAAGACACUAAUUGACCGGCACUGUUGGAACUACUUAAGGAUGAUCUUCUGAUACUGGGAGCCUAUCUACAGGAGAAAGCUCGAAGAGAUGAGACAGGCAUGGAGCCUAUCUACAGGAGAAAGCUCGAAGAGAGAUGAGACAUGCAUGGAGCCUAUUGAGAGCGAGUAGUCCGCUCAGUCUCUGUUUUCCGUUUCUCAUUCUUUUUUCUGUUUUUUUCCCUUGUCAGCCAGAUGCUCUCUAUCUUGUAUCAGACUCUUAUUCGCUGAACUGAAUUGCCACAACAUGCUGUUUUCCUCAAUAUAAAGAAAGAUGUUGUAGUGGGUCU